GUAAAAGUCGUAACAAGGUUUCCGUAGGUGAACCUGCGGAAGGAUCAUUAUCGAGUUACUUGAAAAGGGUUGCAGCUGGCCUCUCGGGGCAAAGUGCUCGCCCGGCUCAAAAAUUCACUCUUUCAAAACACCCUGUGCACUUUAUAAAUCUCUUCGCGUCGGCUCCCGAGCCGCGCGUGGAUGCGUUUAUCCUUCAUACAAACACCUUCAAUCCUGAAUGCAUUUGUAAAAAUAAUAAAACAACUUUCAACAACGGAUCUCUUGGCUCUCGCAUCGAUGAAGAACGCAGCGAAAUGCGAUAAGUAAUGUGAAUUGCAGAAUUCAGUGAAUCAUCGAAUCUUUGAACGCACCUUGCGCUCCUUGGUAUUCCGAGGAGCAUGCCCGUUUGAGUGUCGUGAAACCAUCAACCCCUCCGAGGUUUUCACAACCUUGCGAGAGGCUUGGAAUUGAGGGACCUUGCCGGAUUCGUCAAGAGUCGGGCUCCCUCGAAAGUCAUCGGCUUGUGAUAUCCCCGAUGCUGAAUGGCGUGAUAGGCAAUAUCUACGUCUGGAGCUGAAGGGUGCACGAACGAGCCUUUCAUUUGCAGGCCUUGCCCCUCUUUCGGGGUGAACCUCUCUUUCUCUUUGACCUCAAAUCGGGUAGGACUACCCGCUGAACUUAAGCAUAUCAAUAAGCGGAGGA
rnacentral:rRNA from 1 species